rnacentral:lncRNA from 1 species
GAAAGAGCAGGCUUCACUUAGACAAAGUUGCGCUGUGAGCGCCCCUCCAGCGUUUGGUUUCAUCCAGCAUUUACUGGGUUAACCUUGAAGCCGAAGCGCGGGGGAGGGGUGGUUCUCCGGAACUUGGACAUCAUUGGCUACGGGUAACCCUGGUAACGCCAUACUUGGGCCUUUUCCGCCUUGCUGGGGCAGAAACGGCGCUAAGGCUUAUGGCCUCCAUCUUAGAACCUCCACUUUACUUUCGGUUUUGCGUGUAGCGAGUUGUGCCUCAUAGAAGAGGAGAAAAAUAUUCUUCGCUCAGAAGUUGGAGCAGAACCCUUUUCGGACCAUUGUGGACGUACCGCGUGCUUUGGACCGAAACGUUUUUUUGGAUUACAUUCGCUGGAUUAUAACAAACAGAAUGAGACCGCACUCGACGUGACUGAGCGACGUUUGGGGCUCAGCAGUCGUCAAAAAUUUGCCUUCGUGCUCCUGCUCCUCCUCAUGAAGAAGGAGGUCACCAUCUGCGAGGCGGUGCAGCCAAGUCACACUCUGAAUCUAUUAAUCAGAGCUGCGUUGGAACAGACAACUGCGAGACGCCAUAAUUUCAUCUGUAAACUCAGACACAAUGAGCUGAUACAGAAAAGGCCAGUGAGGAGGAAAAACCAGAGCUACAUCCAAAACAUCUGUAUCACAGGCGUUUCCAACAAGGUUUGACUCGAAAAAACUUCAUGCCUUUUAUUCUCUGCUUUUUUUAUCCUCAUGCUGAAUUUAACUUAGCGUCUCAGGGCUAAAGCAUCACUUUAAAAAUACAACGAACCCACACUGAAAAUGCUAAACGCACAAAUGACUGUAGCUGUUUACUCACCUAAACUGAAAACACUCUGCUCAGUAUUUACAGCUCGUUGACUACACAGCUAUUCAUUAUUUAAUAAGUGUCUGCCAGUAACAGCUGCCGCUACAGCAGCUAAGGAUGAAGCAAGUGGGCACAUUAAUAAAACACACACAUCAGCGUUUUUACA